rnacentral:rRNA from 1 species
CCUACGGGUGGCAGCAGUGAGGAAUAUUGGUCAAUGGACGCGAGUCUGAACCAGCCAAGUAGCGUGAAGGAUGGCUGCCCUAUGGGUUGUAAACUUCUUUUAUAAAGGAAUAAAAUGAGGCACGUGUGCCUUUUUGUAUGUACUUUAUGAAUAAGAAUCGGCUAACUCCGUGCCAGCAGCCGCGGUAAUACGGAGGAUCCGAGCGUUAUCCGGAUUUAUUGGGUUUAAAGGGAGCGUAGAUGGGUUGUUAAGUCAGUUGUGAAAGUUUGCGGCUCAACCGUAAAAUUGCAAGUGAUACUGGCAGUCUUGAGUACAGUUGAGGUAGGCAGAAUUCGUGGUGUAGCGGUGAAAUGCUUAGAUAUCACGAAGAACCCCGAUUGCGAAGGCAGCUUACUAAACUGUGACUGACAUUGAUGCUCGAAAGUGUGGGUAUCAAACAGGAUUAGAUACCCCAGUAGUC